GACGAACGCUGGCGGCGUGCUUAACACAUGCAAGUCGAGCGGUGCGGCGAACGGGUGAGUAACGCGUGAGUAAUUGCCCCCCUCUCUGGGAUAACAGUUGGAAACGGCUGCUAAUACCGGAUAGUGGGGGAUGACUCGCGUCCUAUCAGCUUGUUGGUAGGGUAGUGGCCUACCAAGGCGACGACGGGUAGCCGGCCUGAGAGGGCGACCGGCCACAUUGGGCUGAGGUACGGACCAGACGCCUACGGGGGGCAGCGGGGGGGAACAUUGCACAAUGAUGGAAACUCUGAUGCAGGAACGCCGCGUGCGGGAUGACGGCCUUCGGGUGGUAAACAGAUUUCAGCCAUGACGCGGUAGUGGCAGAAGAGGCACCGGCUAACUACGUGCCAGCAGCCGCGGUAAUUC
rnacentral:rRNA from 1 species